rnacentral:rRNA from 1 species
AGCGAACGCUGGCGGCAGGCUUAACACAUGCAAGUCGAACGGGCACUUCGGUGCUAGUGGCAGACGGGUGAGUAACGCGUGGGAACGUGCCUUUCGGUUCGGAAUAAUCCAGGGAAACUUGGACUAAUACCGGAUACGCCCUUCGGGGGAAAGAUUUAUAGCCGAAAGAUCGGCCCGCGUAUGAUUAGCUAGUUGGUGAGGUAAAGGCUCACCAAGGCGACGAACAGUAGCUGGUCUGAGAGGAUGAUCAGCCACAGUGGGACGAAGACACAGCCCAAACUCCUACGGGAGGCAGCACGGGAGAAUAUUUGACAAUGGGCGCAUGCCUGAUCCAGCCAUGCCGAGUGAGUGAUGAAGGCCUUAGGGUUGUAAAGCUCUUUUGUCCGGGAAGAUAAUGACUGUACCGGAGUAAUAAGCCCCGGCUAACUUCGUGCCAGCAGCCGCCGCCG